AGCUUUGCACAGUGGCAGUAUCAUAGCCAGUGAGGUUUAUCCAAGGCAUGGUUAUUACUAAUUGAAAAUAAGGUAUUGAUUA
rnacentral:snRNA from 1 species